rnacentral:rRNA from 1 species
ACGCUCGACACCUACGGGAGGCAGCAGUGGGGAAUAUUGGGCAAUGGGCGAAAGCCUGACCCAGCAACGCCGCGUGAGGGAAGAAGGUUUUCGGAUUGUAAACCUCUGUCCUCAGGGACGAAGGACGUGACGGUACCUGAGGAGGAAGCCCCGGCUAACUACGUGCCAGAAGCCGCGGUAAUCUGAGCGGGCUGGCAAGGC